ACGGGAGGCAGCAGUGGGGAAUAUUGGACAAUGGGCGCAAGCCUGAUCCAGCCAUACCGCGUGUGUGAAGAAGGCCCUAGGGUUGUAAAGCACUUUAAGUUGGGAAGAAAAGUCAUUGGUUAAUACCCAAUAGCCGUGACAUUACCAUCAGAAUAAGGACCGGCUAAUUCCGUGCCAGCAGCCGCGGUAAUACGGAAGGUCCAAGCGUUAAUCGGAAUUACUGGGCGUAAAGCGCGCGUAGGUGGUUUAUUAAGUUGGAUGUGAAAUCCCCGGGCUCAACCUGGGAACUGCAUCCAAAACUGAUUCACUAGAGUACGAUAGAGGGAGGUAGAAUUCACAGUGUAGCGGUGGAAUGCGUAGAUAUUGUGAAGAAUACCAAUGGCGAAGGCAGCCUCCUGGAUCUGUACUGACACUGAGGUGCGAAAGCGUGGGUAGCGAACAGGAUUAGAUACCCUGGUAGUCCACGCCGUAAACGAUGUCAACUAGCUGUUGGGGAACUAUGUUCUUCAGUGGCGCAGCUAACGUAGUAAGUUGACCGCCUGGGGAGUACGGCCGCAAGGCUAAAACUCAAAUGAAUGACGG
rnacentral:rRNA from 1 species